rnacentral:rRNA from 1 species
GAUGAACGCUGGCGGCGUGCCUAAUACAUGCAAGUCGAGCGAACAGACGAGACGCUUGCUCCUCUGACGUUAGCGGCGGACGGGUGAGUAACACGUGGAUAACCUACCUAUAAGACUGGGAUAACUUCGGGAAACCGGAGCUAAUACCGGAUAAUAUAUUGAACCGCAUGGUUCAAUAGUGAAAGACGGUUUUGCUGUCACUUAUAGAUGGAUCCGCGCCGCAUUAGCUAGUUGGUAAGGUAACGGCUUACCAAGGCAACGAUGCGUAGCCGACCUGAGAGGGUGAUCGGCCACACUGGAACUGAGACACGGUCCAGACUCCUACGGGAGGCAGCAGUAGGGAAUCUUCCGCAAUGGGCGAAAGCUUGACGGAGCAACGCCGCGUGAGUGAUGAAGGUCUUCGGAUCGUAAAACUCUGUUAUUAGGGAAGAACAAAUGUGUAAGUAACUAUGCACGUCUUGACGGUACCUAAUCAGAAAGCCACGGCUAACUACGUG